UGGGGAAUAUUGGACAAUGGGGGCAACCCUGAUCCAGCAAUGCCGCGUGUGUGAAGAAGGUCUUCGGAUUGUAAAGCACUUUCGACGGGGACGAUGAUGACGGUACCCGUAGAAGAAGCCCCGGCUAACUUCGUGCCAGCAGCCGCGGUAAUACGAAGGGGGCUAGCGUUGCUCGGAAUGACUGGACGUAAAGGGCGUGUAGGCGGUUUACACAGUCAGAUGUGAAAUCCCCGGGCUUAACCUGGGAGCUGCAUUUGAUACGUGUAGACUAGAGUGUGAGAGAGGGUUUGUGGAAUUCCCAGUGCAGAGGUGAAAUUCGUAGAUAUUGGGAAGAACACCGGCGGCGAAGGCGGC
rnacentral:rRNA from 1 species